UAACACUUUGGGCAGUUUUCUCCUUUCCGGGCUGUCUAGGUUUUCCUUGCCGCUGCUCUCAGCAAACAAUAUGAUUUCUCACACACAUCAGAAUUUGCUCUCUGAUUGGAAGCUGUUGGUGUAAGGAAGCUGUAGGGCUAUGGACUGUGGGGAGGAAGACCACACAGAAUAACUCGGUUGCUGGCUUGGGAGAAUAUGGCAAUGGUUCCUUCCCAGUAUGUAGCUUUUGUUUCUGAGGCAACAUGAAAAACAAGAACAAGAGAAGCGAAGAUGGUCCUGAGGAGAAAAAUGAACCAAGACAUCCUGUGUGAUCAGUGCCAAGAUUCAAUUAAAAAGCUACCAAAAUUGAGUUGGUAUUAUAUUGGCCUAUAGAAAGAAAAACAGAUCCAGUGAACUUGGAAUCUGAUCUGCGCAUCUAUAAACCUGAUAUGUAAAAGAUCGUUUUGCCCAUUUAUGGGUGAAAGAAUAGAAUAAAUACAUUGCACUGAUAAAAUUGGUAAUCCACGACGGGGGAAAAAUAAAACCUAAAUGCCUUCACA